rnacentral:rRNA from 1 species
GACGAACGCUGGCGGCGUGCCUAAUACAUGCAAGUCGAGCAGAUCUUCAUUAGCUUGCUUUUGAAGAUCAGCGGCGGACGGGUGAGUAACACGUGGGCAACCUGCCUGUAAGACUGGGAUAACUUCGGGAAACCGGAGCUAAUACCGGAUAAUCCUUUCCCUCACAUGAGGGAAAGCUGAAAGACGGUUUCGGCUGUCACUUACAGAUGGGCCCGCGGCGCAUUAGCUAGUUGGUGAGGUAAUGGCUCACCAAGGCGACGAUGCGUAGCCGACCUGAGAGGGUGAUCGGCCACACUGGGACUGAGACACGGCCCAGACUCCUACGGGAGGCAGCAGUAGGGAAUCUUCCGCAAUGGACGAAAGUCUGACGGAGCAACGCCGCGUGAACGAUGAAGGCCUUCGGGUCGUAAAGUUCUGUUGUCAGGGAAGAACAAGUACCGGAGUAACUGCCGGUACCUUGACGGUACCUGACCAGAAAGCCACGGCUAACUACGUGCCAGCCGCCGCAGUAAAAC